UCAAUUUACAGAAUUAAUCGCAAAUUUGAGAAUGUUUUGCUUUAGUAUUCCGAAGCCGUUUUUGCGUGUCUAAUGGGAUGCAUAAACAGUACAAAGAAAUUAAGCGAUUUAAAAGGCGAAAACGUUUUCCGAGCCGUGCGACUUCACUCCGAUUCGACAAACCUAGGACGCACAGGAUUCUUGGAACUAACGCCGAGGGAAUUGAUUUUUUGUACACGGUCAAAUCAACGUGUUGUAUGGGCUUUGCAGCAUCUACGCAGAUAUGGAGUCAAUGGCGAUGUUUUUUCUUUUGAGGCUGGUCGUCGUUGUAUGACCGGCCCUGGAAUUUAUAAAUUUCGUUGUCAACGGGCGGAUCAGUUGUACCAUCUCUUUCAAAGUUACAUAAAUGCAGUGGCACUUGUGACGGACGAAGUAUUUCCGUUUGGUGAGCGUGAGCGUGACCGCGACCGUGAACGUGAUCAUCCAUCACAUAUACUUGGACGAUCAGAAAAUGUACACCCAACAAACAACUAUUUAGAGCCAACACCGGUAGUGGAUACGACAACAGGAAUCUCUGUUUUACAUCGCGCCAGAGCAUUGCGUGAUUCUUUUAGUAGCAGUCCACUAAGUCUGGAUUCUCCAGACUCUGCACCAAGUUUAUCAUUUGCCACUAAUGAAGUAGUACAUAUUCAAAGCCCACGAUAUCCUAGUGGGCGAGGAAUGUAUGUCAACACACCUAAUUCUUCCAAUGCGCUUGCUAAUAGUAAUGUAUACUCGGAGCAUCCUUUGCGGUCACAAGUUGAGCAUAACAACAAUUUAUCAAAUGCUCCCAACAAUGCAUUUAAUACAUUAGCGAAUAAAAAUUUUAUUAAGCAUUCGUCUUUGGAUAUACCUCCUGAAGAAUGUGCACCUAUGUUAACUCCAUCAUCGGAGAUUCUGCACAUGUAUGCAAACGUUGAUAGUGGCACAUUUGGUGCUAGUAAUUUUGGUUUUGGAGGUAUUGGAGAUGUACGGAACGUAGGACGAAAUCAGGAGCGUUGCUAUGAAAAUUUAAACCGGGAAGACUUAAAUAUUAUUCUUCCUCCACAAACUACAUCGUCUGCUAUACCAGGGAGAACAGUUAAUGUGAUAGAUAUGUCCAAGGAUCAGCAGUCGAAUCAGCUAAAAUCAACAGAAACAAAUGCAGUCAAUUAUAUUGUUCUUGACUUAGACCAACCUCGUAGUCCGACCUUGUGUUCUCCUAAGCUACAUGUAGGAAGCGGUUUGUCAUUGCCAACAGUUGAUUGCAUUGAAAGUAUUGAUAGAGGGUGCCCUACAAUUGGCCCUCCUGAUACACCACGAAACAGUGCCACGUCUGCGACAAAGGUACUCACCACUGUGACAACAUCGAUUACAAACACAACGAAGACAACAAAGAAAAUUGAUGGAAGUGCAGAAGAAUUGGAAAAUAAAGAAGAAUCUUCAUUGGGUUACUCAACAAUAGAUUUUAUAAAAACAUGUGCCCUUAUUAAAUCGUCUACACACGGUGCUGAUUUCGAAGCGGAACCUGACAGCGAAGAAUGUCGGAUCACCCGUCAUAGUAAAUGCGUGCGGAAAGCUUACUCGAUUAGUGAGUAGAAUAUCAUGCACCUUAUCAGAUCUAUCAUGUUGGGAGAACUCAAUUCCUGAAAUCAAGAUAAAUGUACCAGCAUUUAGUACAACAUAUUAGAUAUAAGGGACAUGAUGUCGAUUGGAUUUCUUUUGAGAUUUUAAUACACAUAUACUGGCAUGUAUGAGCAGAUUUAGUUGAAGAAAAAGGCGUUUUCUGAGCGGAUAUUUUGUAUUUGUAUAUAUAUGUAUAACAUUUAAAAAAUAGCAUAUUUUUAUUUUGUAGAGCUUUGUAAAUUAAAAUUAUAUUUGCAAUGCAAUUGAAUUUUUAUACAUAUGCUAUAUGAAAUCGUAUUAUUAUACAUACCAUGCCAUGUACUUAUGCCAAAGUUCGUUAAUAUUUCACAUAUUUUGUAGGCUUUAAAAUCGUUUGUACUUAAUUUUUUGUGUUCUAAUUUUUUAUUGCAAAUGAUGCAGGCAUUAAUACUGCAUUUUUAUUAGCUGUAGUAUCAAAAAAGCCAAAGUACUCAUGUAUUCGUUAAAUUGUGUAAUACUAUUUAAGAAUAAUUUUGAAAAUAAAUUGUAUUUUAACUAAAAACCGAAA